rnacentral:RNase_P_RNA from 1 species
UGUGCAGGACAGGUGAUCGCGGCUGCAAGUGUCGAAAGACCGCAGGUGAGGAAAGUCCGGGCUUCAUAGGGCAGGAUGCCGGUUAACGGCCGGUGGAGGAAACUCUAAGGAAAGUGCAACAGAAAUAUACCGCUAUAAGGAGCACAUGCCAUGCAAUUUCCCCUUCGGGGAAGGCAUGUACGUAGGAGAUGCAUCAUAGAUGCAUCUCAAUAGUAAGGGUGGAAUGGCAGUGUAAGAGACUACCGCCUCGCUGGUAACAGAGAGGGCACAUGUAAACCCCAUUCGAAGCAAGACCGAAACAAAGCUUUGACGUGGCCCGCUAGCUUUAGGUAGGUCGCUUGAGGCGGCUGGUAACAGUCGUCCUAGAUAGAUGAUCACUCAACGACAUAACCCGGCUUAUCGUCUUGCGCAAUGU